rnacentral:rRNA from 1 species
CGCGUAGGCGGUCUUUUAAGUCAGGUGUGAAAGCCCGGGGCUCAACCCCGGAAGUGCACUUGAAACUAUGAGACUUGAGUAUGGGAGAGGGAAGUGGAAUUCCUGGUGUAGCGGUGAAAUGCGUAGAUAUCAGGAGGAACAUCAGUGGCGAAGGCGACUUCCUGGACCAAUACUGACGCUGAGGCGCGAAGGCGUGGGGAGCAAACA